rfam:Otolemur garnettii contig059043, whole genome shotgun sequence.
CCAACGGCUCUUUUAAGAGCCACCUAUGUAUUUCAGAAAAAGAGCU